rnacentral:rRNA from 1 species
GACGAACGCUGGCGGCGUGCUUAACACAUGCGAGUCGAACGGAAAGGCCCUGCUUUUGUGGGGUGCUCGAGUGGCGAACGGGUGAGUAACACGUGAGUAACCUGCCCUUGACUUUGGGAUAACUUCAGGAAACUGGGGCUAAUACCGGAUAGGAGCUCCUGCUGCAUGGUGGGGGUUGGAAAGUUUCGGCGGUUGGGGAUGGACUCGCGGCUUAUCAGCUUGUUGGUGGGGUAGUGGCUUACCAAGGCUUUGACGGGUAGCCGGCCUGAGAGGGUGACCGGCCACAUUGGGACUGAGAUACGGCCCAGACUCCUACGGGAGGCAGCAGUGGGGAAUAUUGCACAAUGGGCGGAAGCCUGAUGCAGCAACGCCGUGUGCGGGAUGACGGCCUUCGGGUUGUAAACCGCUUUCGCCUGUGACGAAGCGUGAGUGACGGUAAUGGGUAAAGAAGCACCGGCUAACUACGUG